UAGCAAAGUACAGCAGAAUAUGUGGCUUAAACAACAAAAUGUUAUUGUCUCACAAUCCUGGAGGAUUGAAGCCUGAAGUCAAGGCCUCAGCAGGGCUUUUCCUUCUGAAGACUGAGGGAAGGAUCUCCCCAGGCUUUCCUCUUUGGCGUGUAGAUGGCCAUCAUCAUGCUGUGUCUUCUCGUGGUUUUGCUUCUGUACCAGUCUGGCACUGAAUCAAGUCAGUCAUACUGGCAUUGGGAAUUGGAUCCAGGGAAUUCUUCACACUGAGCUAUAAUCCCCACCCCGCCCCAUUUUGAGAGUUUUACUAAAUUUCUGAAUCGCCCAGGCUGAGCUGGAAUCUGUAAUCUUCCUGCCUCAACCUCCCAGAGUGCUAGGAUUAGAGGUCAAACACACUUUUAUGAUAGUGAACAAUUAACAGAGGCGUGAGCAUCUACUGGAGUUCUGAUCACGUGUUGUAGAGAAG
rnacentral:lncRNA from 1 species